rnacentral:rRNA from 1 species
UACGUAGGGCGCGAGCGUUGUCCGGAAUUAUUGGGCGUAAAGAGCUCGUAGGCGGCCUGUUGCGUCCGCUGUGAAAUCCCGGGGCUCAACCCUGGGCGUGCAGUGGAUACGGGCAGGCUGGAGGCAGGCAGGGGAGAACGGAAUUCCCGGUGUAGCGGUGAAAUGCGCAGAUAUCGGGAGGAACACCUGUGGCGAAAGCGGCGCACUGGACCACAACUGACGCUGAGGCGCGAAAGCUAGGGGAGCAAACAGG